AAAGUUGGUGCUUAUCUCAUUAGAUAUCACACCACCAUGUCACUUUUAGUCCGACCUUCUGCGCAGAAUGGAAAUCCGAACUGGCUAAUUCCGGAGAUUUAUUCACCAAGUCACACCACCUCUACAGUUUGACUACAACAAAAAAAAAAUACAGACACCACCUGAAUUCAAGGCUCAUACAUUUUAAUGCUACAAGUGAUUCAGCAAAUACAUUUGAAAUACCAAUAUACAUCUUGAAAAUUUUUCUCAUUUUUACAUAUCCAUUCAGUGGACUUACAACUGAAAAACACCGCCAUCCCACCUCAAAGAAACUGAGGUCACUGAAAGAGAUAAGGGAUCGUGCUAAGCCGUCUACAAAAUCAUGUUUUCGGACAGCACCUACGAUUGUAUAUCCUCUGUAUAAUCAUGAAAUUAGAAUUACACAAUACUGCAUUAUGAAUGAAUGUAAUAAUCAUCUAUAUAGCUUGAGUAUAUAAAGUCCAUGCAUCGUCUUGUUUUUAACACAGUAAGCAGGACAAACCUAAGUUUCAAAUAAAAUAACGAAAUAAAAUCAAAACUAAAAUAUAGGAAAGAAAAACAUGUUUUGUCAGAUUGCAAGAAGCCAAAAUGAACAAAACACGUUAAUACAUAAUGUGCAGACGUGCGUGAUGGAACCCGACAAUGGGGAGCAAUAUUCAGCUUCAUUAACCAUACAUGUAACUGAUGUAUGUUUAAUCAAACUUGACACAAAUAUAUUAUAAAUCCUUCAAUGUAUUUAUCAGCAUCCAUCCGAGGUCCCACAAUCAUGAAUUUGAAAUACACAGCUGCAAAGCACAUUCCACUUUGUAUAAAAUCAUGCUUAAGAGCUGAAUACCUAAUAAACGAGGAAGAAGUCAUUUGGAGUUUCAGAACUAAUUUAAAUGCAUCUGAGUUCUCAAAUAAUGUUAACGAUGAGAGAAUCUGACCUCCAGCACACAUAUGUGAAGUAGAUCACAUACAUAGAGAGGCCGACCUGCAAUGUGCUGUGCAAGAAAAGCUACUAUUCGGGGUUAUUUUUUUUCCUCUUGAAACAACAAGUGCCAAAAAAAAAGGUUUAAGGCACCUCACAAUACAUGUAAGUCAGAGACGUGUAUUUGCCAGGGAAGUUGGCAAACGUCUUUCCAUUGGUCUUCAUCACGUUUCAUCAUAGACAAUCAAACAGGGUUGCAGGAAAGAUGCAGUGAAGUCUUUUUUGCAGGAAUACCACUAUCAUUGUACAGCUUUCCUGCAUCCCUGGGCCCCGUCUUACAAAAAGUUGUGAUUGAUCCAAUCAAUUGAAACUACGGAAAGCCAGCUAGGUCAACAUAUAAAAUGCAUGUUUGUUUUAAAAAAAAUCUAGAUAUGAAUGUAUAUCCAUAAAUUCAUUAAUUUCUUGACAAUCGUGUGUUGUCCUUCAUUUACAAAGGACAUUUUGCAAACAUCCUGUAGAAAAUAUUAUGACUCUAAUGGAUUUCCACAGAGUUAUGAUUGAUUUGAUCAAGUCUUUGUAAGACGGGCCCGUUGUCUUGUCUAUCUAUAAUAGAGAAUAGAGAUCAACAAUGAAAACACGCUUGGGAGAUUCCUCCAUUAAAGACAUGACUAUGACACAAUUUGUUAGGUGCCUAUCAAAGCAAAUUUCUGUUGAGUUAUUUUGUCUCCCAGUAAUAAUAUUUAAAAAAAAACACAUAGCACUGAAUACAAUGUUUAUAACUGCUGAUAUUACUACCCUGCAAAUAAGCCAGUUCAUAGAGACACUGCGAGCAUGUGCUGGUAAACAUCAUUAUAACUCAAAUAAAAAAUCAAUUGAAACUCUAUAGGGAUUGCCUGAAAUGGUAACACUUGAUUCAUACAAAUUAAAUUCCUUUUGCAAUGGAGAACAUACAUUCCCCACUCCCUGGGGGUGUAUGCUACAUACGAUGAUUAUGAAUGUUCUUCAAGCAAUGGGAUCAGACACCCCCCGACCCCACACCCUUCUGCAGCGGAGAACAUGACAACAUUCCCCACUCCCUGGGGACUAUUCUUAUCACAAAAAGCAUGACAAUGGAUCUAAUUCUCCCUUCCAAUGGAGAACAUGAUAACAUUCACCUCUCCCCAUGGUGUAUUCUAAGGAUUCUGAUUGCUCCUCAAACCAUGGGCUUAGAUAAGUGUGACAAAGCCUUAAAUACUACCCAUGAAGAGGAGAAUACAACAUUCCCCACUCCCUGGUGAGUAUUCCUGGGAUUAUGACAAUUCUUCAAAAUCAUGGACCCAGAAAAAACAUGGCGAUCACUGAUAACAUCCCCGUGCAAUGUAGAUCAUUAUUGAUUCUCUACCUUUUGUAUUAAGCUUUGUACAAAAAAAUAAUAGUUAAAUUUUACAUCUAGAGCACUACAUAAAUAUUCAUAUCAUACAUAUUGUUUUCUCGUAUAAAAAUUUGACACACAACAGCAUUAUUUGGUCAUGUUUUCCACUUCAAAAACAUCUGUUCCAAAACAUAGAAAUAUCUAUAGACUGUAAGACAAACAAAAAGAAAAUAAACACAUGCAUAAACUACACUCCUUCUACUACAUCAUACAGGCGUUUGUUAAUGAUAAUGAAAAUUUAAAUAACUAUGUUAAGCAUAGAAUAAUCAAAAUUCUUGUGUACAACAGAAUUCCACCCACAUCUGCCCAUAGCAAUGUUGAUACUCAAUCUGAUUGCACAUAUGCAUGGUAAAAUUGAAGAACACACAAACAACGGCCUCAGAAUCCUACAUUAAUAACGACAGCAUAUUUAAUAUCAAUUCUCGUUUAUAUAUCAUUUUGUUUAUUUUCUUUACUGUACUCCAAUUUCCACUUCUAUGUACCGGUAUCUUCAUUUGCUUUGUAUAUUCCUUUUAUGCGAGAAUCAUUUCCAACAAGCCAUUCAUCUGCUUUUUAUGAUCCUCCCUCCAAAGGUAUUUAUAGUAACAGUUUCGUAUGCAUAAUUAUAUGUUUGUAUUAAAUGGGUUUAUCUUGAAGUGAUGUUUUCUUUGGUCUGAAGUUUUCGACAUACGAUAAACCCUUUAUGAGCUACAUUCAAAUGAUGAAUAUAACUUAUAAGUUUUCCCAUAUUACACCUGUUCUGAUUCAAUUACAUUGGUUGCCAAUAAGGCAGAGAAUUGCAUUUAAGAUACUUUUGCUUGUUUACAAAGCACUGAAUGGUCAAUAUGGUUAAUAUCAUUUAGGUCACAUUCAUAUGCACAUAACUUACGAAGUACACAGGAUAAGCUGCUUCUAAAGCUACCUCACUUGAGAACAAAAGUAACUCUUGGGGAUCGUGCUUUCAGUUGUGCUGCUCCAAAGCUUUGGAACAAAUUACCCCUGGAAAUACGAAAAGCACCAACUGUUACCAUCUUCAAACAUUUAUUGAAGACCCAUCUUUUUUCAGAAGUUUUUGGUUAAUUGUAUUAUAUGCAUAAUUGUUUAAUUUGUUUGAGCAGUAGCAUUGUUGGGAGCUCUGUUACACUACAGCGCAGUAGAGUAUAUUUACAUAGUGACUGCGCUAUAUAAAUGGUCUAAUUAUUAUUAUUAUUAUUAUAAUUCACUUUCCAACAAAUCAUGCUUUGUGGAGCAUUAAGGCUCAAUGGAUCAGUCUUCUGACUUUAAAAACAGAGAAUCAGGGGUUCAAAUCCCAGCCAUGGCGAGAAUUUUUUUUCAGCAAGAAAUUGAUCCUCAGUGUGCCGCAAUCAACCCAGGUGAGGUUAAUGGGUACCUGGCUGGAAUUUAUUUCUUGCAAUAAUGCGCUGUAAACGGUGUCGGGGCCAAAGCCAAAUUAAUAAUAUCCAGUCCUUACAUCCUGAAAAGUAUGGUUUUGAAACACGGUGUCCCAUGAUGUUAAACAUUUAUAAACUUUCUUACACUCUAACUUGUUUAUGGCUCUUAAGAUUUCCUUUCCCUAACGGAUUCAAGGACUUUCUCUACAGGACUACAAACUAUCACAUAAAUUGGGAUAUUAUUAAAGGGUUAAAAGCAGAGAAUUAACACUCCUUUUCCUGUGUGAAGGGAAGGAAUGUCUCAGGAAAACCAGAAAUUAGUUUUUUUUUAAAUGUAGACACUGUUAAUAAGUUUCAAUCACAUACUUAAUGGAUUGACCAAAAUGUUAAGCCUUUGAAGAUGUCUGAUCUUACCAAAAUCCAUUGAAAAAACAGAUUGGGUCCAUUUGCAUGACAGAUACAUAUAUACUAAAUCAUAAAGGUAAGAAGACAGGUAAGACAAAUAUACAUCAAAGUCUCCAAACAUAAUAAUAC
rnacentral:lncRNA from 1 species